rnacentral:rRNA from 1 species
AUGCGGGUGAAUUGUGCGCGGGCCGAUCCUGCCGAGGCGGUCCAUCCGAUUGGGAAGUGGAAAGGGGGGACACGGGAAGAGGAGGCGCGCGCGAGGGGAUCCAGCGCCGCGGGCGAUAAUGGCCGGCCCCUUAUCUGCCAGAAACUGCUCGCAAUCAUACCUCAGUUUCUCAACGCUCAUUCAUGGCGAUUGAUGUGCCAAUUCUUUCCGCUGUCGAGCGGUACAUCUAUAUAUGCUUCCUCCUCUGGUCGCUCACCCUCUCUACUCCGGCAGCAAAACAAUCAUGCCGGGCAGGGUUCCCUGUAUUUCCUUAUUUUGGUUUUCAGUUCAUGUAUGACUCAUUUUUGCACAAAGCAAUUACAUUUUCUUGAUGUCCUCUCAUACCAAAAAUUUGUGCAUACGGGUGAUGUUCAUGCUAGCGGUGCUCGAUUGAUUUCAUUUUGUAGCUUCGUACUGGAAUUUUUUGGUGUUGGUAAUCUCAAAUCUCUUUGGACAGAAGCAGAGGCCGAUUGUGCUUAUGAACUAGCAGUGCCUAAGGCCAAUAUGUCGCUGUUACAUACAGACCUACCAGGUUCAUUGGAGUUCUGCUUGAUGGAACUUUCUGUUUGCUGCCACUUUUUCACUAUUAUCUUUUGUGCGUGGGUUUUCUGA